GACGAACGCUGGCGGCGUGCCUAAUACAUGCAAGUUGAGCGCUGAAGGUUGGUACUUGUACCAACUGGAUGAGCAGCGAACGGGUGAGUAACGCGUGGGGAAUCUGCCUUUGAGCGGGGGACAACAUUUGGAAACGAAUGCUAAUACCGCAUAAAAACUUUAAACACAAGUUUUAAGUUUGAAAGAUGCAAUUGCAUCACUCAAAGAUGAUCCCGCGUUGUAUUAGCUAGUUGGUGAGGUAAAGGCUCACCAAGGCGAUGAUACAUAGCCGACCUGAGAGGCUGAACCGCCACAUUGGGACUGAGACACGGCCCAAGCUCCUACGGGAGGCAGCAGUAGGGAAUCUUCGGCAAUGGACGAAAGUCUGACCGAGCAACGCCGCGUGAGUGAAGAAGGUUUUCGGAUCGUAAAACUCUGUUGGUAGAGAAGAACGUUGGUGAGAGUGGAAAGCUCAUCAAGUGACGGUAACUACCCAGAAAGGGACGGCUAACUACGUG
rnacentral:rRNA from 1 species